GAUGAACGCUAGCGGCAGGCCUAAUACAUGCAAGUCGGACGGGAUCCAUCGGAGAGCUUGCUCGAAGAUGGUGAGAGUGGCGCACGGGUGCGUAACGCGUGAGCAACCUACCUCUAUCAGAGGGAUAGCCUCUCGAAAGAGAGAUUAACACCGCAUAACAUCAACAGUUCGCAUGUCCGGUUGAUUAAAUAUUUAUAGGAUAGAGAUGGGCUCGCGUGACAUUAGCUAGUUGGUAGGGUAACGGCCUACCAAGGCGACGAUGUCUAGGGGCUCUGAGAGGAGAAUCCCCCACACUGGUACUGAGACACGGACCAGACUCCUACGGGAGGCAGCAGUAAGGAAUAUUGGUCAAUGGGCGGAAGCCUGAACCAGCCAUGCCGCGUGCAGGACGACUGCCCUAUGGGUUGUAAACUGCUUUUGUCCAGGAAUAAACCUCUUUACGUGUAGAGAGCUGAAUGUACUGGAAGAAUAAGGAUCGGCUAACUCCGUGCCAGCCGCCGCCGUAACAC
rnacentral:rRNA from 1 species